rnacentral:tRNA from 3 species
GUCAGGAUGGUCGAGCGGUCUAAGGCGCUGCGUUCAGGUCGCAGUCUCCUCUGGAGGCGUGGGUUCGAAUCCCACUUCUGACA